rnacentral:ribozyme from 13 species
AUGAAAUAAUUUAUUUACAAAAAAGAAAACACAAAAACCAUCCUCACUUCCCACAAUCACCUUCCUCUCCUUCUUUUUCUCUUUCUUUUCCUCUUUCUUCC